CGGAACCAUUCCAGCUUCUGAUUAUAUUCAUUUUGGUAUCGGAAAUAAAAGGACGCUUCUUAAAUGAUCGUUGGAUCACGUAGCCUUCUGUAUAUUCUAUGUUCUAAAUUAAGACUAGCCCAUGGACUAGCCUGGGUCGGAAUCUGCAGCCGACAGAGACGGACGAGUCGCGUAGGCUUCUUGGGGUCGCCUCAUUUAGGACAGAACUUAAACAAUGGGAGGAGACCAGAGUAUUCAGAACAAAGACAAGGAAAAGGAUGACAGUACAGAGGAGUUCAACAGCUCUGACAGCGAACAACCUGUUGUGAAAGACACAUACAGCGGCGAAAUGCCCCAGUGCAAGAUGGGAAACAGGAAGGUGGACAAUAUGAGCUUCAUGAUUUCAUGCACAAACUGGUAUUGACCUGCUGGGAUAAACUGCCAUUAACAUACUGGAAAUAGAUGACAGAAACUGGAAGAAUGGAAAUAAUAUGUGAAUAUGUGAAUCUGAAUGUGGUAGUGGUUCUCAAAUUGUGAUACGUGAUUACACAUGGAAGAUUCUGCUCCAGUUCCAUUGUUUUGUUUGAUUUUAAAUCAAUUUUAUGCACAUUUUUGUCCACCUUUGUAUUUUUCUUUGUAGAAUAAGUCCUAUUUUGAGUCCUAAUUUCAACCUAAAAUAGCCCUAUUAUAGACCUGAUAUAAAGCUGGUUAUACUCACCAAAUAUUUGCUUGAUGUGACAAGUUUUACAACUGUGUUUCUUUAUUUUGUUAAUAUGAUUAAUUUACUUUUUACUUUAAGUUCAAAAUAAAAAUAUGAUGUUGCAGCCUAAAAUCAAUAUUUAUCAAAAACAGUAAUUAAUACCAGAUGCUUGCUUUAAAUGAAUGCUGGUGCUGGUUGGAAAGCUCCUUUUCUUCACUGAAUAAAUGUCUUGUGUUGUUUUAGCUAUAAAGGUAAAAAUGAACCAAUUGUCUAAAGAUGGACAUAAUCUAAUGACCAUUAGAGCUAAAAUGAAUGUUUAAAUGGGCUCAGCUAAUGGCCAUGAAAUAAGGUUUGCGCUGUAGAAUGUAUCAGGUCCACUCUGGCUACUCAGCAGGUGGCAGAGCAUAUUGCGUAUCAGCAGAGGGGGAGCUGUAUAUCCCAAAGGGUUAUUUCAGCAGGAUACACGGCACAUAAUUGGACAGAAGCCCCUCAAACGAUGGUAAUAGUCAUGGAGAUUUAGUAAACUAAUAAUGGAUCAAAAUACUAACUCACUGUAGGGCAUUAUCUCUAAAGUUAUUUAGAGCAGCUCAAACAAAAUUUCUUUCAGGCGCCAGUGACGGGUGCAGGGCCACUAAUAACAGCACAAAGUGCUUCUAACUCUUAAUCAUAGUUUGAAAAAAAAAUCUUAAUGAACAUGUUUGUUGUUUAGGUUAUAAUUUGCUACUUUUUUGUAAUGAUAUAUAAUAUUUUUCUCUGGGGUCCAGUACUAAAUAACCUGUAGCCUGGUCUUAGGUCCUGGAUGGUUGGGGAGUCCUGAUUUAGAGUAAAAUAGUGCUUAUUUUCAGAUUGUUCACAUGUAAUUAGAGAUAUUUGACAUACAUAAAGAGCUGGGCUUGUGUUGUCAUGCCAAGUUUUUAGAUUAAACUAAUGUUAUACUAAUGCACAUAAUUAACAUUAAAUUUAUUUUAUUUUUUAUGUA